GUCUAUGGCCAUACCACCCUGAGCGUGCCUGAUAUUGUCUGCUUUCUGGAAGCUAAGCAGGGUUGGGCCUGGUUAGUACUUGGAUGGGAGAACUUACUCCUUCCAUCUCACUGUAUGUU
rnacentral:rRNA from 1 species